UACGGAGGAGGCAAGCGUUAUCCGGAAUUAUUGGGCGUAAAGCGUGCGCAGGCGGUUCGUUGUGUCGGCGGUGAAAGCCCCGGGCUCAACCUGGGAAUGGCCGUUGAAACUGGCGAACUGGAGUGUGGCAGAGGGGGGUGGAAUUCCGCGUGUAGCAGUGAAAUGCGUAGAGAUGCGGAGGAACACCGAUGGCGAAGGCAGCCCCCUGGGCUGACACUGACGCUCAGGCACGAAAGCGUGGGGAGCAAACAGG
rnacentral:rRNA from 1 species